CGGGUAUCUCAUGUAAUGUAAGAUAUCCGAAUGAGGAAAUUCGGUGAGAGACCGAAACGUGCCGGCACUGUAAGCGAGAGACUUGGCCUAAACGCCUGAUAGGCGCUGAACGUGAGUUCGCCAUUGGAGCAAUCUGAGAAGGUGGGCAGUAAGUCGCAGAAGAUAAUUUCUUCUUAUCGCAAGUCAGGAGACCUAUUUUGG
rnacentral:ncRNA from 1 species